ACAGCAGUCGCCGCGGUAAUACGAAGGGUGCAAGCGUUACUCGGAAUUACUGGGCGUAAAGCGUGCGUAGGUGGUGGUUUAAGUCCGUUGUGAAAGCCCUGGGCUCAACCUGGGAAUUGCAGUGGAUACUGGGUCACUAGAGUGUGGUAGAGGAUAGUGGAAUUUCCGGUGUAGCAGUGAAAUGCGUAGAGAUCGGAAGGAACAUCUGUGGCGAAGGCGACUAUCUGGGCCAACACUGACACUGAGGCACGAAAGCGUGGGGAGCAAACAGGAUUAGAGACCCGAGUAGUCCCUGUCUCUUAUAC
rnacentral:rRNA from 1 species